rnacentral:rRNA from 1 species
GUCUACGGCCAUGCUACCCUGAACAAGCCCGAUUCCGUCUGAUCUUGGAAGCUAAGCAGGGUAGGACCUGGUUAGUAGACCACCUAGGAAGACUAGGUGCUGUAGGCG